CCCUUAGAUGUUCUGGGCCGCACGCGCGCUACACUGAUGCAUUCAACGAGUCUAAAACCUGGUCUGAUAGGGCUGGGUAAUCUUUUGAAAGUGCAUCGUGAUUGGGAUAGAUGAUUGCAAUUCUUCAUCUUCAACGAGGAAUGCCUAGUAAACGCAAGUCAUCAGCUUGCAUUGAUUACGUCCCUGCCCUUUGUACACACCGCCCGUCGCUCCUACCGAUUGAAUGAUCCGAUGAAUACCAUGGAUUGAGAGUACGAAUAGGUUCGCUUAUUUCUGCUGCUCGAGAAGUGGAGUAAAUCUUAUCAUUUAGAGGAAGGAGAAGUCGUAACA
rnacentral:rRNA from 1 species